rnacentral:rRNA from 1 species
UGGGGAAUCUUAGACAAUGGGCGCAAGCCUGAUCUAGCCAUGCCGCGUGAUCGAUGAAGGCCUUAGGGUUGUAAAGAUCUUUCAGAUGGGAAGAUAAUGACGGUACCAUCAGAAGAAGCCCCGGCUAACUCCGUGCCAGCAGCCGCGGUAAUACGGAGGGGGCUAGCGUUAUUCGGAAUUACUGGGCGUAAAGCGCACGUAGGCGGACUGGAAAGUCAGAGGUGAAAUCCCAGGGCUCAACCUUGGAACUGCCUUUGAAACUCUCAGUCUUGAGGUCGAGAGAGGUGAGUGGAAUUCCGAGUGUAGAGGUGAAAUUCGUAGAUAUUCGGAGGAACACCAGUGGCGAAGGCGGCUCACUGGCUCGAUACUGACGCUGAGGUGCGAAAGCGUGGGGAGCAAACA